UUGCUUAAUAAUUAAAAAAUAACCAGUUAGGAAAAACAGUGAAAUUGAAAAAAAAAGAUGUUGUGGGACCAGCAUAAGAUUCCAAAAGACACAUAUGACAAUAAAUUCUAUAAACAAUUUGGAUAAAUCUUUAAAUUACUAUUGCAGAACUGAAAAUGAUUGAAUAAAUAGGAUAACACGCUGACUUUGUAUGUAAUAGAAAUGAAAAUGGCAAUGAUGCUAAUUAAAUGAUGGAAUUAUCAUUCAGAGGUCUGUAGGGAUUGAUAGUUCAUACAGGAGGAUCUAUGUUCAGAAAGUCCAGUAGCUAGUGGGAAAUCCAAUUUUACUCUAUAUUAAAUGUACAUUGAAAUGUGUGUUAGAGCUAAAGCAGCUGAAUCAAUCCACAGCAUGCUAAUGGAAGGAUAGGAAUGCAGGUUUGAGAAAAUAGUAUAAUGUAUUGGAAAAUGUAUUCCAAUAAGAGUAAGCAAAUAGAAAGCAUCACUUUCAAAUCACUGUGAAAAAUAGACUCUUGGAUGGAUGAUACCAAAUUAAAUAGUCUACAUUUAUGAAAAAAGAAAGGAAGAACAUUGAAGAAAAUAUGUAAUUUAAUAUGAAAUAUUUCAUUUGAAAAUGAAAACAUGUAUUACAUAGAAACAAUGUUAUAAGCAAAUAGAUUACAAAGAAAAAGAAGUGAAAUGUUUGCCAAUAUGUGAUGUUGUCAAAAAGUUACUUUGCAUUUCAUACAAAUAAAGAAAUGCUAUAUCUCAGGAAAAAUGGAUAAAGAAUAGAAACAAGUGAAGUACAGAAAAGCAGUAGAAUGGCUGGCUAGCAAGCAAAUGAAAGAUGAUACUGCAAAUAAAAGCCCACUGGAAAGUGAAGACCAAAAGCAGGAAAGUGGGCUGCCUUGGAACUCACUUUUUGGCCAGGCUGGCCUUGAAGACACAGAGAUUUAUCUGCCUCUGUAUCAAGGUUGUUUGGGGGCCAGCUCCUUAGACCUCAUCCGGGUUCAGAUCAGACACAACAGGAAGUGAAAGGAACUAGGGUAUUUGAAGGCAAAAAUGAAUUAGCUCACAUGUGUCUUCUUCAAAUCAUAUCUUUUUAUUAUUCUGCCUUUUUCUAAUUUCCUUGUCCUAAUUGUCUAUAAUUUCUUAGCUCUAAUUCUCUGUUCUAAUCCUCCUGCUUUUCCUCAUCUAGCCCAAUAAUAACUCUUUUUUACAGGAGACUUGAAGCAAUAAUAAAAAUUACAAGAGUUCUCUCUCAUUGGUCAAAAGCACAUUUCUAGAGUAGACGAUAAGGACAGAGCCAUUUACCAUGGCAACACAAGGUUUCAAGGUCUCAGGACCAGAAGGAGGGGUGCAGUGUCAAGUGUGACAAACAGACAUAGGUCUUUAUCAGCAGACUUGGCAAGCAAAGAACUGGUAUGCUUUUCUUAGAGUGCUUUAUGUGGUUAGACAUCUGCAACUCUGACCUUGUGCAUAAUUGUAAAGUUUCAAACUUAUGAUAGUUUGAACUUGCUCUGAGGUGAAAUGAGCUAAAUGUGUGGAGUUAGUCUGAGCAAAAGGAACAAAGCAGGCUUUUAAGGGUCUACCGUCCUUGUGAGGUAAUAGAUCUAGUUAUGAAACAUAUCUUACUAUAUUUUCUAUAUGUCAAUUUUAUACAGCUAAUUGAGAAGUCAUCUUUCUAACGAUCCAAGGACAUGAGUGCCCAGUAACACACCAGCUGUGGGAAAACACCCACAGCUGUACUUAGGGAAGAAAUGAAAUGGUAUAUGAGAGAAAUUACGGACAGGAGCAACUGGUCAUUAUCAGUCAGUAGCUCCACUGUCUUGCCAGUGGGGCUCCCCAUCACAGAGUCUGGUGGGUCGACCUGCUGAGCACCCAUUGCCUCCUGCUGUGUAACCACAGUCUCUUGCUACCAGCAGCUCUUAAUACCUCUGCUUCCCAAGUACUGGUGUUAAAGGCAUUUUCCACCACAUCUGGCUCUGCUUCUUAUCAGCAUAUUAAGGAAUGUCUACUUUUGAUACAGUAACUUGCAUCCACAUUGGGACCUUGACCACAGACCUGCUACGAUACGAGGACACGGGAAGGCAGACAGCACAAGAGGUAUCGAUAUGUGAGGGACAGAGAAAGGUAUGCAUUUGAAUAAAACCCACUGCUUCUGAAAAUGGAAUAUUCUGAGUUUCCAUACAAGUCAACUAAAUUCUGUAGAAAUCUACCAAUGGUGACAUAAUAACUCUACCUCUUCAAAUUGUUGUAAUACAUACUUUGUAACUUGAUGAUGUAUUGACAAAUUAAAACUGCAUGUAGAAUUAAUAUACACAGCAAUUUCACUUUUAAGUAUACAUGAGAAGAAUUAGACAUGAAUCUACACAUCAGGGAGACAUCUGAACCACCAUGUUAAUUUUAGCAUUAUUCUCAAUAACCAAGACAAUGGUAUCAACCUAUAUGUCUAAUGAUCAAUAAAUAGAUUGAGAAUAUAUGCUACAUAUAUACAUGCAAAAGGAAAUUGCUAUUUAUAACAGCAUACUUAAGCUUUAAGAGGGAAAUAUUAUACAUUGUUUAGUUCUAAAAUUCAUUGUUUGAGUAAAUUUACUUCAAUGAAUUAGCAUUUGAUGAACUGCCUAAACAAUGGAAUUUUAUGGGCAAUAAUAGUUUGAAGUAAUAAAAUAGAUGAUAAUGUCUUAAAAUUUAUGUAUGCAGUGAAAUCAUGGAAAACAUGAUACUGUUCUGCCUGUGUAGAGUUAGAUGAGGCUUUCAAAUAAUAAUAGGGUUGCUUAAGAAGCCAGAGAAUUUAGCUCCAAAAUCCUGUGUAUAAAAUCUGUAAGUAUAUUAAUCAGAUAAGAGUUAAUUAAAUUUGCAUUUACAUAUAAAAGGAAAAUUUGUAUUCUCUUUCUCUUGGGUUCUUGGUAAGGUGUCCCUUCCCUGAUAUUAUGACUACUAAAGCCCCCAACCAUCCAGAAUAAAGGUUACAAAUCACAGGGCUUCCUGAACGAGAGUAUGUCAGGACAUGCAUCUUUGGGGCACAUCCACCUUAUCUACGGGUAUAAGGACAAAUAUUUAGAAUUCAGUUAGGGUUUGUGUUGGUUUAGUAAAGUGAUUGUUGGAGGUUUCCUCUAAGAUACAUGACUUAACUGGCAGUGAGUAGUUGGGUGUGUUUGCAGUACCAGGCAUGAUUUCCCUUUUGUUAAACAGGCCCUACGUCCAAUUAGAGAGCUGUUGGUUAUUGCCAUGGCAUGCAUACCACCAUUGCACUCUUAGGGUUAUAUAAUGUCAUCUUAGUCAUUGUUCUGGUUCAUAAGCAUCCUGGCUGGAUAGGACUGUUGGUAGCCUCCUUCAUUUGAAAGAUUUUAUGACAGUUUAUGGUAGCAUGAAAGUUAGUCCUCAGUGAGAAACUUUUAAGUCAGAUAUUUAAAAUCCAAAACUGAUUUGCUAUGACUUCAUUAGGAAACAGUAUAGCCAUUGACUUGAGGUAGUAUGUACAGUGUUGGUCAAUAUAUGUAUUCUUCCAUUCUUUCUCAUUUUUUGUUAUUGUUAUUGUUAUAAUCCUGGAUGAAGAAGAAAGAAAACUAAGGUAAAUACCAUCACUCAAAUAAAUGAAGCCUAGAAGAUAUAUAAAAAAAAGGGAUAAACAAACAGAACUCAUUCCCCUCAACAGGUUCUCCACUCCUCUAGUCUUAAGAUAAGAAUAAAAAGAAAUAUUUGAACAGGCCUUGAAAUUUAGUUUAGAACAGCCUAGGAUUUUAUCUAUAUCUGCAUCUAUAUCUAUAAACAUAUAUGCAUAUUUGUUCUUGGGCUUGGUUGGGACAAUAAAGCUCCAGGGUCGAUCUAUUCUAUUUAUGGGCUUAAAAGAAGAAUGUAUUGGAAGGGAAAGAAAAUGACUACUGAUUAUCAUUACAAUGUCGAGAUACCUCAGUGCUAUACACACCCUCAGUUAUAAAAUGAAUUUCAGAGAGAAGAUAUACAAUAGUUCUGCUUUUAAUUUCGUAUAAAUCUCUUCAUUAACUAGUUUUAUAGUUAUUUUCUUAAGUUAUAGUAUUUAAAAUAAAAUAACUUUAGAUGCAGAUGUAGGUUUCAGGAAAGAAAAGAGAUUAUUUUCAGCAUGGAACAGAGAAACUCACACAUCUACUGAAUGUGAAAUUUAAGGAGAAUCAAUAAUUCACUUUAAAUGGGAAGUGAGUAAUUCAGCAUUUAAAAUUGCAACAUUCUCCAUAUAUUCCUUGGUGAUAUUGACGUGGGUGUGAAUUGGGGUGAUGUUUCCCACCGCCAAGUGGAUAAGAAUUUGAGUCACUAGUUUAAGUAACAAAAUGAUUGGUAAAUCUAGAGGACCUUACUAUGGUGAGAUGGAAUUCCAAAUAGAAAAGUUAUGUUUAUGUGUUCAUGUAUUUGUGCAUGUGUGUGUCUGUGUACUCUAACUCACUUCACUCCACUCAUAUGACAUUUUAUCUGACUUCCCAGGAUGUGAUUGGAUGCUGUUUAUUCAGCCAUCUAAACAUUUUGAUGACAUCCUGUGGAUUAUUAGCAGAAAGAAUGAAAUCUUCUAAAUGGUUUUGUGAGACCUACUUAGUAAUGCUUGAGUUGAAUGGUUUCCCAGGAGGCUGAGCACUAUGCCUGUGUACAGAGAUGAGACAUAUUGCUUUUGAAUGUGCCUUGAUCUGCAAGCUGAAGGAACAGAAGACCUCUAUGGAGCUGGAGCUUCUGAGAACAGAUUCCCCACGUGAGACAGUUCUACCUUCUCCUUGGAGUUCAUAGUCCCUCGCUCCCUCUGGUGUCUGCUUGCUGUACUGCCGGGCUCUGAAGCAGCAGAACUCUACCCUGCCCCUUCUGUUCCCAGUAGGCUCCAGACUUGCAGAAUCUACUAGGUUCUGGCAGUGAUGGAUCCCAACCUCUCUAGAGGCCCCUGGAAGUUGAAACAUUGGAUGCUCACUUGGACAUCUCUUUCUUCAUGACUAUCCAGUUAAUACAGAAAAGAGACCCCUCGAAGCUCCCCAACAUAUACUGCUGUAACUACAGUGCCAUCUUGUUUCUUUCUGAUGGCAUGGCACUGCUCUAAAGGGACAUCAGCGAUGGGACAGCGGCUCUGUGUGUGUGUUCUCACAAGGUUGGAAAUUAAAGAUGAAGACUGGCAUUCAAGCUGUGCAAGGAGGAAGCAAACUUUCUUAAGAGCUAUUUCAGAAAUGAGAAACAUUGAGGAAAUGCCUGAGGGAACGAGGGGUUUUCAAGGAAAUAAAGUCCUUUUUUUCUGGGGACUUUUUGUGGGGCCAGGGCAAAAACUGAACAAAGGGUGAAGUAAUCUCUGUGGGAUUACUUGAUUUUCUGACCUCUCAUGGGCAAAACCAAUGAAUCUUCCACACUAUGUAUGUUCCCCUGGCCCAACCAAGGAGAGGAUCAUGUGGUAUUCAUGCACUGCCAGACCAGUCAGGGAUAUUUGAGGCACCCCUCUGUUCAUCUAACUCCAGCAUUGACCUUGACUGUGUGCUGUGCAUUACUCACCAGGAAAUAACCUGGAUUUACAGGCAUUUCAAGUGCUGUUAGCUGUAGUAAGCUUUUUCUUCUCACGAUUUCCUCAUCAAUUUGUAUCAUAGCCAAGAUGUAACAGCAGUCUCUGUUGGAUAUCUAGUAUUUUGGCCUCUAGUAAUGAAUGGAUAAUCAGAGGUGGUUUCCUAGGUGGAACCUUUUUGUUAGAAACCAUGUUUACUUGCACUUUAGCCUGUCGCACCAGCUGUGUUAGAACAAGAACUGAUAAAGGUCAACAGUGCCACCUCUGUUCCCAUAGGCUUCAGAGGAGCCACCAACUUGCCCUCAUAGCCCACAUCCCUGCCCUUCCUCAUAUCUGUUUAGUUUGGAUGUCUUGUGUCCAAUUAUAAGCCCUUAUAUUUACCUUCAUGGGUGCAUCUUAUUCUGUUGAGUUAGCUCUUUAUCUCCAUUUUAAUCCUAGCUUCUGUUCUCACUACAAGAUACAUGAUAAAGUUACUGUUACUGCCUUAUGGUCUACAGAGAGCAUCUUCAAAAUCAGCACCAUAGUUUGCAAUACAAUGUUAAUUCCUUAUUCUUACUUAUUCCAGAAUUUACAUGGUUUUUGUCUGUGUUAUCUUGAUUUAUUUGAGUAAAAUGCUCGCCUACAUAACAAAGAAUAAAAUAGCAGUAUUGUAGAGGUGAAUUCUUUGUUAUGUGUAGAGUAUAUGUAUUCUGGAAUGAGCAUAGUAGCUGCAGAAUCAUUGAGUCCUAUCAUUUUUCUGUACUGAUGGUCUGAAACAAUUCACACACAGUUUGUAUGUGAUGUGACUGCCCCAUUACAAUACCCACAACCCUGCUAUCAAGACAAAUAAGGAAAAAUGUAAAGUGUGCACUCUCCUCUUAGGGUGUGUCAUAAGGUCAUUCCCAUCACCUUUUUGGCACCUGUUUCCCAGAACUCAGGAAUGAGGCUGUACGAAAAUUUAGAGAAGAUGAGUAAAACAAUGCCUUCAGUGGCUUCCUUACAUGGUUCACCUUGACAUAGAAGUCCCUUUUUAAGUAAAAGGUGAGAAUAAAAAGGGUGCAUGCCAACCAGAAGUGCCUACAGCAUUUUGGAUCAUUCUCAUUCUGCAAUACCCAGAUGUCAACUGACAUGAUGCAGAAAACUUGAACAUCUAGUCCCUUUUUCUAUCAGAAGUUGAGAACUCCAGCCUUUUUGGCUAAUGAUAUAU